AUGCAGACUUGUUUAGAAAUAAAUAGUUUUAAGUGUUUAAUAAUCUGUUAAGAAAAAUAUUUUUAAGUAUGUAGAAUUAAUUAGUAUAGUAAAAUUUAAGGCUUGGACUAUAGUUCAAAAGUACCGUGAGGGAAAGUUUAAAUAAGAAUGAAAAUUUAAUUAUGGAAAAGAAAAUAUUAAAACUUGUACCUUUUGUAUCAGGGGGAAUUUAAAUUUUCUGGAUAAGUUGGAUAUCCCGAAAAAAGAAUAGCUAAAAAAUUAAGAUUGUCUUAGUCGUAAAUAAGUUUUUAAUAGUUUUUUAGUGGUGAAAUACUAAUCGAGUCUUUUUAUAUCUGGUUGUUUCAGAAAGAAAUUUAAUUUUGUUCGAAUGUGAUUAAAAUUAAUUCGAGUGAAUAAUUGGAGGGAAAAGCUUCUGGUUAAUAAAUUAAGUAUAGGGUAAUAUGAGUAAAUCUAUUUUAACUAAGCUUAGAAGUAGUUAUGUUAGUAAAGUGUUUUAACUAAAAUUUUUAAAUCGUUGCUAUUUAUGUCACCCUUGCUUUGAUAAGUAUGAAAUUUUAACAGUAAAUGUUUUAUUGUUAGUAAUAAUGAUUUUAUUAGUAGAAAUGUCUUUGUGAAUAAAUUGGUUAAGUAAAAUAAAAAUUAAUUUUUGUAAUUAAGUUAGAGAUGCAUUAAAGGAACUCGGCAAACUGAAUUUCUGCCUGUUUAUCAAAAACAUGUCUUUAUGAAUAAUUUAUAUAAAGUCUAGCCUGCCCAGUGAUGUUUAAGUUUAACGGCCGCGGUAGUAUGACCGUGCUAAGGUAGCAU
rnacentral:rRNA from 1 species